AUGUUAUAUGCUGUAAAAUCUGAAACAAUGAUCUACUGUAGUUCAAAUUUCCAUAUUAUACCAUCCCUCUUUGCACCAGGUACAGUUGCAUGUGUGCUUUGUCUUUCCUUAUUUUCCUUCCUAGUAUUUAUCAAUCAUUGCUGCUGGCAUUAUAAUGUAGAUCUAUUUGCUUAUUGUCAGGCUACUCCUCAGGAACAAUGGUUCCUUCUCAUGAAAGGAGAGUUACCUCUUUAUCUGUGGCACACAGAGGAGUACUUGGCACUCAACAGUUCCUCAAUAAUAUUUGUUAAUGAAGAAGGAAGGAAGGAAAGAAGGAAGGAGUUUGCUUGGGCUGGCUUUUACACAACCAACAAAGAGAAGUAUUAUAUCAUAAGUAAUGGUAUGGCUCCAGCAACGGAAAAACUGUGGAUGAAGGAUUUCAUAAGAGCAGUAGUGGUGAUACUGAUGGGAGAUGGCAGUCCCUGGUGA
rnacentral:lncRNA from 1 species